rnacentral:rRNA from 13 species
GUAACUUGAGCUGUUAAAUGCAGAAUGCCAUGAAUCAUCAAAGCUUUGAAUUCAUAUGGUAUCUUGCGCCU